rnacentral:rRNA from 1 species
UACGUAGGCAGCGAGCGUUGUUCGGAAUUACUGGGCGUAAAGAGUGUGUAGGCGGUGCUCUAAGUUCGGUGUGAAAUCUCCCGCUUAACUGGGAGGGUGCGCCGGAAACUGGAGUGCUCGAGCGUGGAGAGGAAAGCGGAAGUUCCUGGUGUAGCGGUGAAAUGCGUAGAUAUCAGGAGGAACACCUGCGGUGUAGACGGCUUUCUGGACCAUUGCUGACGCUGAGACACGAAAGCGUGGGUAGCAAACAGG